AGCGAACGCUGGCGGCAGGCUUAACACAUGCAAGUCGAACGCAUCCUUCGGGGUGAGUGGCAGACGGGUGAGUAACGCGUGGGAACAUGCCCUUUGGUUCGGAAUAACUCAGGGAAACUUGAGCUAAUACCGGAUAAGCCCUUUUGGGGAAAGAUUUAUCGCCGAAGGAUUGGCCCGCGUCCGAUUAGCUAGUUGGUGAGGUAAUGGCUCACCAAGGCGACGAUCGGUAGCUGGUCUGAGAGGAUGAUCAGCCACACUGGGACUGAGACACGGCCCAGACUCCUACGGGAGGCAGCAGUGGGGAAUAUUGGACAAUGGGGGCAACCUUGAUCCAGCCAUGCCGCGUGAGUGAUGAAGGCCCUAGGGUUGUAAAGCUCUUUCGGCGGGGACGAUAAUGACGGUACCCGCAGAAGAAGCCCCGGCUAACUUCGUGCCAGCCGCCGCAGUAA
rnacentral:rRNA from 1 species